rnacentral:rRNA from 1 species
UGCCUGUUGAAUCAAAUUUCAGGUAAACCCUGCCCAAUGACACUCAGUUGAAUGGCCGCGGUAACUCGUGCGAAGGUAGCAUAAUAAUUCGCCCUCUAAUUAAGGGCUGGAAUGAAUGGGCCAACGGUAAACCCCUGUCUCUUUUGAAACUCUAAAAGCUAUCCUCCAAGUGAAAAGACUUGGAUAAAUAUAGAAGACAAGAAGACCCUGUCGUGCUUAACCUUAUUAAGUUGGAAAAACCUAUCAGGGUUUGGUUGGGACGACUCAUACACACAAACACUACAUAAAAUCUAGAGAUACUACUCACUAUAUUCAAGGACCCCUCUAUAGGACCAUAGGAUUAGUAACCGCAGGGAUAACAGGCUAAUCUCCUUCCAGAGCCCAUAUCGACAAGGAGGCUUGGCACCUCGAUGUUGGCUUAGGAACUCUAAUAGGCGCAGCAGCUUAUUAUAGAAGGUUUGUUCAACCUUUUAAAUCCU